rnacentral:rRNA from 1 species
UACGUAGGGGGCAAGCGUUGUCCGGAAUUAUUGGGCGUAAAGAGCGUGUAGGCGGUCAGAUAAGUCCGCUGUGAAAUCUCGAGGCUCAACUUCGAGCUGUCGGUGGAAACUGUCUGGCUAGAGUCCGGAAGAGGAGAAUGGAAUUCCUGGUGUAGCGGUGAAAUGCGCAGAUAUCAGGAAGAACACCCGUGGCGAAGGCAGUUCUCUGGGACGGUACUGACGCUGAGACGCGAAAGCGUGGGGAGCGAACAGG